CUUAUUAAGAGCGAGGGAGGGAAUGGGCCCGAUGAUCUCGCGGCAACCUCACAGAGAGUGAAGGUGCCAAUUCCCACGGGGUAUCAGCCAUUACCCCGGCAGAUGAGG
rnacentral:ncRNA from 1 species